rnacentral:rRNA from 1 species
UACAGAGGCCUCGAGCGUUAGGCGGAAUCACUGGGCUUAAAGCGUGUGUAGGUGGAUGCCUAAGUACCUUGUGAAAUCCCACGGCUUAACCGUGGAACUGCUGGGUAUACUGGGUGUCUUGAGCCACUCAGGGGCUACCGGAACAAACGGUGGAGCGGUGAAAUGCGUAGAUAUCGUUUGGAACGCCAAUGGUGAAAACAGGUAGCUGGGGGUGUGCUGACACUGAGACA